GAGUUUGAUCAUGGCUCAGAUUGAACGCUGGCGGCAGGCCUAACACAUGCAAGUCGAGCGGCAGCACAGAGGAACUUGUUCCUUGGGUGGCGAGCGGCGGACGGGUGAGUAAUGCCUAGGAAAUUGCCCUGAUGUGGGGGAUAACCAUUGGAAACGAUGGCUAAUACCGCAUGAUGCCUACGGGCCAAAGAGGGGGACCUUCGGGCCUCUCGCGUCAGGAUAUGCCUAGGUGGGAUUAGCUAGUUGGUGAGGUAAUGGCUCACCAAGGCGACGAUCCCUAGCUGGUCUGAGAGGAUGAUCAGCCACACUGGAACUGAGACACGGUCCAGACUCCUACGGGAGGCAGCAGUGGGGAAUAUUGCACAAUGGGCGCAAGCCUGAUGCAGCCAUGCCGCGUGUAUGAAGAAGGCCUUCGGGUUGUAAAGUACUUUCAGUCGUGAGGAAGGUGGUGUUGUUAAUAGCAGCAUCAUUUGACGUUAGCGACAGAAGAAGCAC
rnacentral:rRNA from 1 species